rnacentral:rRNA from 1 species
UACGUAGGUGACAAGCGUUGUCCGGAUUUACUGGGCGUAAAGAGCGCGCAGGCGGUCGAUCAAGUCGAGUGUGAAAGCCCCCGGCUCAACUGGGGGAGGUCAUGCGAGACUGUGCGACUUGAGGGCAAGAGAGGCACGUGGAACUCCCGGUGUAGCGGUGAAAUUCGUAGAUAUUCGGAGGAACACCAGUGGCGAAGGCGGCUCACUGGUCCGGUACUGACGCUGAGGUGCGAAAGCGUGGGGAGCAAACAGG